AAAUCAAAGUAUAAGAGGUCCUGCCUGCCCAGUGACAUUAAGUUAAACGGCCGCGGUAUUUUGACCGUGCUAAGGUAGCGCAAUCACUUGUCUUUUAAAUGAAGACCUGUAUGAAUGGUGGAACGAGGGCUUAACUGUCUCCCUUUUCAGGUCAGUGAAAUUGAUCUGCCCGUGCAGAAGCGGACAUAAGAAUACAAGACGAGAAGACCCUUUGGAGCUUAAGACACAGGAUCAACUAUGUCAAAAAUUCCCCUAAAUGGAAACAAAACAAAAUAUUAACUGAUCUGAGUCUUCGGUUGGGGCGACCGCGGGGGAAAACAAAGCCCCCAUGUGGAAAGGGUAAUUAAACCUAAAACCGCGAGGAACACCUCUAAGUCACAGAACAUCUGACCAAAAGAUCCGGCAUUUAAGCCGAUCAGCGAACCAAGUUACCCUAGGGAUAACAGCGCAAUCCCCUCCAAGAGUCCAUAUCGACAAGGGGGUUUACGACCUCGAUGUUGGAUCAGGACAUCCUAAUGGUGCAGCCGCUAUUAAGGGUUCGUUUGUUCAACGAUUAAAGU
rnacentral:rRNA from 2 species